CCUACGGGAGGCAGCAGUGGGGAAUUUUGGACAAUGGGGGAAACCCUGAUCCAGCCAUGCCGCGUGAGUGAAGAAGGCCUUCGGGUUGUAAAGCUCUUUCAGUCGGAAAGAAAAGGCUCCGGAUAAUACCUGGAGUUGAUGACGGUACCGACAGAAGAAGCACCGGCUAACUACGUGCCAGCAGCCGCGGUAAUACGUAGGGUGCGAGCGUUAAUCGGAAUUACUGGGCGUAAAGCGUGCGCAGGCGGUUGCAUAAGACAGAUGUGAAAUCCCCGGGCUCAACCUGGGAACUGCGUUUGUGACUGUGCGACUGGAGUACGGUAGAGGGGGGUGGAAUUCCUGGUGUAGCAGUGAAAUGCGUAGAUAUCAGGAGGAACAUCGAUGGCGAAGGCAGCCCCCUGGACCUGUACUGACGCUCAUGCACGAAAGCGUGGGGAGCAAACAGGAUUAGAUACCCUGGUAGUCCACGCCCUAAACGAUGUCGACUAGUUGUUCGGGAAGGUGACUUCUUGAGUAACGUAGCUAACGCGUGAAGUCGACCGCCUGGGGAGUACGGCCGCAAGGUUAAAACUCAAAGGAAUUGACGG
rnacentral:rRNA from 1 species